rnacentral:pre_miRNA from 1 species
ACAACAACAUUCGGACCGUCGGUCUACCGAGCAAUGUCACCCGCUCGGUGGAAGAUCUUCCUUUCGUCGUUCAGC